rnacentral:rRNA from 1 species
UAAUACGUAGGUGGCAAGCGUUAUCCGGAAUUAUUGGACGUAAAGCGCGCGCAGGCGGUUUCUUAAGUCUGAUGUGAAAGCCCACGGCCCAACCGUGGAGGGUCAUUGGAAACUGGGGAACUUGAGUGCAGAAGAGAAAAGCGGAAUUCCACGUGUAGCGGUGAAAUGCGUAGAGAUGUGGAGGAACACCAGUGGCGAGGGCGGCUUUUUGGUCUGUAACUGACGCUGAGGCGCGAAAGCGUGGGGAGCAAACAGGA